rnacentral:tRNA from 1 species
GAAAAUUUAGUUAAAAAAUAACAUCAGAUUGUCAAGCUGAAAUUAAUAUUAAAAUUAAUUUUUA